rnacentral:rRNA from 1 species
CCUACGGGAGGCAGCAGUGGGGAAUAUUGGACAAUGGGGGCAACCCUGAUCCAGCAAUGCCGCGUGUGUGAAGAAGGCCUGAGGGUUGUAAAGCACUUUCAGUGGGGAGGAGGAUACUUAGGUUAAGAGCUAGAGUAUUGGACGUUACCCACAGAAGAAGCACCGGCUAACUCCGUGCCAGCAGCCGCGGUAAUACGGAGGGUGCGAGCGUUAAUCGGAAUUACUGGGCGUAAAGGGUGCGUAGGUGGUUGAUUAAGUUAUCUGUGAAAUCCCCGGGCUCAACCUGGGCAGGUCAGAUAAUACUGAUUGACUCGAGUAUAGGAGAGGGUAGUGGAAUUUCCGGUGUAGCGGUGAAAUGCGUAGAGAUCGGAAGGAACACCAGUGGCGAAGGCGGCUACCUGGCCUAAUACUGACACUGAGGCACGAAAGCGUGGGGAGCAAACAGGAUUAGAUACCCUGGUAGUCCACGCUGUAAACGAUGUCAACUAGCUGUUGGUUAUAUGAAUAUAAUUAGUGGCGCAGCAAACGCGAUAAGUUGACCGCCUGGGGAUACGGUCGCAAGAUUAAAACNCAAAUGAAUUGACCGGNUGAGCNGCGACGACGACGACGAGGGAGGAGG